GAUGAACGCUGGCGGCGUGCCUAAUACAUGCAAGUCGAGCGAACAGACGAGGAGCUUGCUCCUUCGACGUUAGCGGCGGACGGGUGAGUAACACGUAGGUAACCUACCUAUAAGACUGGGAUAACUUCGGGAAACCGGAGCUAAUACCGGAUAAUAUUUCGAACCGCAUGGUUCGAUAGUGAAAGAUGGCUUUGCUAUCACUUAUAGAUGGACCUGCGCCGUAUUAGCUAGUUGGUAAGGUAACGGCUUACCAAGGCAACGAUACGUAGCCGACCUGAUAGGGUGAUCGGCCACACUGGAACUGAGACACGGUCCAGACUCCUACGGGAGGCAGCAGUAGGGAAUCUUCCGCAAUGGGCGAAAGCCUGACGGAGCAACGCCGCGUGAGUGAUGAAGGUCUUCGGAUCGUAAAACUCUGUUAUUAGGGAAGAACAAACGUGUAAGUAACUGUGCACGUCUUGACGGUACCUAAUCAGAAAGCCACGGCUAACUACGUG
rnacentral:rRNA from 1 species